rnacentral:rRNA from 1 species
GACGAACGCUGGCGGCGUGCUUAACACAUGCAAGUCGAACGGAAAGGCCCUGCUUUUGUGUGGUGCUCGAGUGGCGAACGGGUGAGGAACACGUGAGUAACCUGCCCUUGACUUUGGGAUAACUUCAGGAAACUGGGGCUAAUACCAGAUAGGAGCUCCUGCUGCAUGGUGGGGGUUGGAAAGUUUCGGCGGUUGGGGAUGGACUCGCGGCUUAUCAGCUUGUUGGUGGGGUAGUUGCUUACCAAGGCUUUGACGGGUACCCGGCCUGAGAGGGUGAACGGCCACAUUGGGACUGAGAUACGGACCAGACUCCUACGGGAGGCAGCAGUGGGGAAUAUUGCACAAUGGGCGGAAGCCUGAUGCAGCAACGCCGCGUGCGGGAUGACGGCCUUCGGGUUGUAAACCGCUUUCGCCUGUGACGAAGCGUGAGUGACGGUAAUGGGUAAAGAAGCACCGGCUAACUACGUG